rnacentral:lncRNA from 1 species
UAAACGAGGGGAAUGGAGGUGCCGCUCACACGGGAAGGCGCAGUACGCGUCCGACGGGGCGGAGGAGCUCCAGUGAGGUAGAUCGGACGAGGCAAUGGCGGCCGUAGGUGAGGAAGACAACGUCGAUCCCGGCUAUGCGAAGGCGUUGAGCUCGAGGUGGUGGUUGUAUACGAUGUAUAGAAGGACGGCAGAGCUGCGGGACAUGGUCUCUAGGCGCGGGGU